GGCCAGCAGCCGCGGUAAAACGUAGGAGGCGAGCGUUAUCCGGAUUUACUGGGCGUAAAGCGCACGCAGGCGGCUUCGUGAGUCGGACGUGAAAGCUCCUGGCUUAACUGGGAGAGGCCGUUCGAUACUGCGGGGCUUGAGGUUGGGAGAGGGGUGCGGAAUUCCCGGUGUAGUGGUGGAAUGCGUAGAUAUCGGGAGGAACACCAGUGGCGAAGGCGGCACCCUGGCCCACACCUGACGCUGAGGUGCGAAAGCGUGGGUAGCAAACAGGAUUAGAUACCCUGGUAGUCCACGCCGUAAACUAUGUCAACUAGGUGUUGGUAGUGUUACACUAUCAGUGCCGAAGCAAACGCGUUAAGUUGACCGCCUGGGGACUACGAGCGCAAGCUUAAAACUCAAAGGAAUUGACGGGGGCCCGCACAAGC
rnacentral:rRNA from 1 species